GUAGGGAAUCUUCCGCAAUGGACGAAAGUCUGACGGAGCAACGCCGCGUGAGUGAAGAAGGUUUUCGGAUCGUAAAGCUCUGUUGUUAAGGAAGAACACCAUGGAUAGGAAAUGAUCGAUGGAUGACGGUACUUAACCAGAAAGCCACGGCUAACUACGUGCCAGCAGCCGCGGUAAUACGUAGGUGGCAAGCGUUAUCCGGAAUUAUUGGGCGUAAAGCGCGCGUAGGCGGUUUCUUAAGUCUGAUGUGAAAGCCCCCGGCUCAACCGGGGAGGGUCAUUGGAAACUGGGGAACUUGAGUACAGAAGAGGAGAGUGGAAUUCCAUGUGUAGCGGUGAAAUGCGCAGAGAUAUGGAGGAACACCAGUGGCGAAGGCGGCUCUCUGGUCUGAAACUGACGCUGAGGUGCGAAAGCGUGGGGAUCAA
rnacentral:rRNA from 1 species